UUCUGCAAACUGGGGCGGUAGGGAGGGAGCCCUGAACAGAAAUUCCCUGCAGAUGCGUGAAGUCCCUGUCCGCAUUCCUGCGAAGGUAAAGCCAGGCUAGUGGUCGUCAGGAAGCCGGUCUAAGGGCUAGGGAGCCUCUCCUCUGCCAGAUGUGCAUUAAUAAGGCAGCUGCCCUCCAAGCUAAUAAGAUGAGGAACCCACAGAAGUGAAGCUGGAAAGUGGUAGCAAGAAGACCUAAGCUCAAAUCCCAUCUGUGACACUAGCUGUGGGACCCUUGGGCAAGUGACUUCAACUAUGAGCCUCAGUUUCCUCAUUGCCCACAAUCCAAGAACAUUGUGAUCCAGUGGAAAGAACACCACACUUGGAGUCAGGAGACCUGGAUGCUGAUCUUGGCUCUGACGCUUUGCUGCUGUCAAGUCAUUUAACUUCCCUGAGCCUCAAUUUCCUCUUCUGUAAAAAUGCAGUGGAGAAGGCUUCCGAUGAUGCCCACCUCCCAGCGUUGUCAUGAGGAAGGAGUUUUGCAAACAUCAACACUCUGUCGGUGAUUUCUAGUCCCCACUCUGCCACCAACUUGAUCUGUGUGAACUUUGUGAGAAAGGAAAAAAGUCUUGCUAGAACUA